GCCCGAGGGACCUCGCGACCCCAGGGUACCUAUCACCCAGGCGCCCGAGCCCCAGCCUGGGACUGGGAGUUCCCGAGCCCUGGACAAUUCGGCACACUUGGACACCCCCUAGAUGCCCAGAUCUCCAAACCCCUCCCCAUGAAGAAGAAACUGAGGCACAGAGAAGUUAAGAAACGAGCCCAGCGGCCGUCAGCUUAUCACGGGAAGAGUAAGACUCAACCACAAGCAACCUGUCUCCGGAGCCUGCACUCCCACCCUCUCAGCUCUCCAGCCUCCCCAGAGACCACAGGUGUCAACCAGUGCCCCAGAGUCCCAGGGAAAAGGAGGGGUGCCCGAGUCCGGCCACCAGCUUGCGCUGUGACUUCAGGGGUCCCUCAUUCUCCCACAGUGCUGCGAUUGCAAGGAACAAGUCAGCCCACAGUUUGCCACGUGCCCACCAGGAUGCCCGCUAAGCAGUAAGGCCUGGGAAUGAGGCUGAAAGUACUCAGUUAAUGAAAAUCUUCGUGGGCACCUCCACUGCCCCCGGCCCACGCUGGGAACGUGCAGAUAAAACAGACACAGUGUCCGCCCCACUCUACCCAGCGAUGUGAACUUGACCGUGAAUAAAGGAGUGAAGGCUUGUCAAUGUGC